CGGAGGUGGCUAGCGUUACUCGGAAUUAUUGGGUGUAAAGGGCAAGUAGGCGGUCUAAUAAGUGGGGGGUGAAAUACUCUGGCUCAAUCGGAGAACUGCCUUCCAAACUGCUAGACUUGAGUGUGACAGAGGAAGAUGGAAUUCUUGGUGUAAGGGUGAAAUCUGUAGAUAUCAAGAAGAACACCAGCUGCGAAGGCGAUUUUCUGGGUCAUUACUGACGCUAAAUUGCGAAAGCUAGGGGAGCAAACAGAAUUAGAUACUCUGGUAGUCCUAGCCGUAAACGAUGAGCACUAGGUGUCGGGUCCUUUAGGAUUCGGUGCCGCAGCUAACGCAUUAAGUGCUCCACCUGGGGACUACGGUCGCAAGGCUA
rnacentral:rRNA from 1 species